GAUGAACGCUGGCGGCGUGCCUAACACAUGCAAGUCGAACGAACCUAAUCUUCGGAAAAGGUUAGUGGCGUACGGGUGAGUAACACGUAGGUGACCUGCCCUGGAGUGGGGGAUAACUUCUCGAAAGAGAAGCUAAUACCGCAUAUGCCCGGCCAUUCAGUUGGUCGAGUAAAGCUCCGGCGCUCCAGGAGGGGCCUGCGUCCGAUUAGCUAGUUGGUGAGGUAAUGGCUCACCAAGGCUAUGAUCGGUAGCUGGUCUGAGAGGACGAUCGACGCCACACGUGGCACUGACACGACCGGGCCAGACCUCCGUACGGGGAGGCUCG
rnacentral:rRNA from 1 species